ensembl:misc_RNA Vault Vault RNA
UGGUCAGAUUUAGCACAAGUGGUUAGUGCGAUCCAUCAGACUUCAGAUACCUGUACUGAGGUUUGAGACCUGUGGGUGCUUUCUGACCCUUUU